UAACAUAGUUCUUGGCCACCCAGCUGAA
rnacentral:piRNA from 1 species